rfam:Candidate division WWE3 bacterium GW2011_GWC2_44_9 TW82_C0018, whole genome shotgun sequence.
GCACCCGUAGUUCAGUCCGGAUAGAACGCGGCGUUGCGGACGCUGAAGUCGGGGGUUCGAGUCCCUCCGGGUGCA